rnacentral:piRNA from 1 species
UAGUUGAGUUUCUAAGAUGGGCCAUG